CAGUCGCCACGAGAAUACGUAGGGUGCGAGCGUUAAUCGGAAUUACUGGGCGUAAAGCGCGCGCAGGCGGCUUUGCAAGACAGAUGUGAAAUCCCCGGGCUCAACCUGGGAACUGCAUUUGUGACUGCAAGGCUAGAGUACGGUAGAGGGGGAUGGAAUUCCGCGUGUAGCAGUGAAAUGCGUAGAUAUGCGGAGGAACACCAAUGGCGAAGGCAAUCCCCUGGACCUGUACUGACGCUCAUGCACGAAAGCGUGGGGAGCAAACAGGAUUAGAUACCCCGGUAGUCCCUGUCUCUUAUAC
rnacentral:rRNA from 1 species